AGAGUUUGAUCCUGGCUCAGAUUGAACGCUGGCGGCAGCCCUUACACAUGCAAGUCGAGCGAGAAAGUUUCUUCGGAAGCGAGUAAAGCGGCGGACGGGUGAGUAACGCGUAGGAAUCUACCAUUCAGUGGGGGAUAGCUCGGGGAAACCCGAAUUAAUACCGCAUAUACCCUAAGGGGGAAAGAGGGCCUAUCCUUGGAAGCUCUUGCUGUUUGAUGAGCCUGCGUGAGAUUAGUUUGUUGGUGAGGUAAUGGCUCACCAAGGCUACGAUCUCUAGCUGGUCUGAGAGGACGAUCAGCCACACUGGGACUGAGACACGGCCCAGACUCCUACGGGAGGCAGCAGUGGGGAAUAUUGGACAAUGGGGGCAACCCUGAUCCAGGCAUGCCGCGUGUGUGAAGAAGGCCUUCGGGUUGUAAAGCACUUUAGGUAAGGAAGAAAAGUUAUUGGUUAAUACCCAAUGACCAUGACAGUACUUACAGAAUAAGGACCGGCUAACUCCGUGCCAGCCGCCGCGGUAAUAC
rnacentral:rRNA from 1 species